AACCAGUAAAUAAUUCUCAAACACUGAAACAAAAAAUUCUCAUAAAAUGUCAAAUGGGAUUAUCACCUUCAUAACACAAAUUCAAGAAUCUGCUCUGAAUAAUACAACUUAACUCAUAGUUCAUUUAUAGUGGACCAAGCUGGCUAAAGAAGUUUCUACUGAAUUCUCUUCUGAUUACCUUAAAAUUUUGCACAUGCAGUUUCAUUGUUGUGCUAUUGUAAUUACAGUAUUAUUUGGUACCCAAUCUUCUUUGGGGCUUCAUCCCUCUAAUUUAUUAUCAUCCCUCCAUGAACUUUAAUCCAUUUUCAAGCCUGUAACCUAUGAUUUUCACUUACUAGGUCUCACCUCCAGGGAGUCUUGCAGAAAAUGUGUUUUUCUCCUCUGCAGACUGGAAGACAAUUGCAGAAUCCAUUAUAAUCAAUACUGUAGUUCUUGAUUGAGUUUUCCCUCUGAGAGAUUUCUGCACAGUUCAUGCUGUACUCGGUACUGGGAAAUAUUCUGAGAACAUGAGCGUUCUGUACAUUGACAGCUUGCUUUUUUCCUUUAUAAAUACCAGUCUUCGCUUCCUUUAAGUGUGUGCCAAAGGACAAUAUUUAUUAAGAAAUCCAGACUGACUUGCCUGGCGUGCUUCCUAGGGCUGAAUUGCAAAGUAUUUCUUCUGCAGGUCCGUAGAGGCAUAAUAAUCCUUGCAUUCACAAAGGAAAUAAAGAUGAGUUCAAGGCCCUCUUUCACGCGAUUUUUCUGCCAACUUCGACUCGAAGUAUUUCGUAUUUAUCUCCAAUUUCAGCAUAAUGAAGCCCAGAUGACGUUUUAAAACACCAAUAGGUUUGUCAACGUCAUUCUACACCAUACUCAGCAGAUGGCAGUAGGUGCCAUGCUAUAUAGAGGCCUUUCCUUAUUACCGAAUUAAACUGCAAAAAAAGGGGGGAGGGGUGACAUACAGGCAUUGGUCUCCCCCUUUUGUACGUGAUCCUCCCGUAAGCAAAAUGUCCACCAAUUACAACACAGCAGCAGCAGGUUGAGACUUACUGCAGGAUUGUGAUCUGUUUCCUGUCUUCAACCUCCUACUCCCCAUUUUGUCACAACCCAAGCUGUUUUUUUUGUUUUUUUGUUUUAACUGAUCUGAGUCACAAAAGGAGCUGAGUCAUAGGCAGCACUUUUCCUUAGGGUAUCUCGCCUUUUUUUUUUUUUUUUUUGAGGUAGCCAAUACAUGCUGAUUUGCAGAUGCCUGCGUGCUUUGUUCUGCAGGCCAGGGACAGGGAGUUGCCACACCGUUCCAUUGGUUUGCUAUUUGAACUACGCACCACACGGCAAAAUCUAUAAAGCACUUUCUGUACUCCCAGCUAAGCACGCCAGCAAAAUCAGGCAGUGGCACGACUUAACGGCUUGCAGCUCCCUGGGGAGACAAUAGAAUGGCUAAAUGGAGGAGGCAGCUUCAUCUCAUCCUGAAACCACCAAUAAGCAUCUCUCUGCCCCCUCCCGCUGCUAACCACCUGAUUUGACCUCGCUUGUAGUGCCUAGCAAAGUGAUUUGGAGUUCUCGCUGGCUUUAGAAUAGAAUAUUCUUUAUUGGCGAUUGGACACACAAGAAAUUUGUCUCCGAUGCAUAAGCUCAGUGUACAUAUAAACAACCAAGUGAUUCCUGGGCUCGUCGCUUGUGAGAGGUCUUAGAGGCGCCCUUUCGCGAAGCUCUUUGCAAGCCAGAUUCGGCGGGGAAAGGGCUUUUGCUUGAAACAAAUUGAAUCUGGAGGUGGGUGUGGUAGAUCUGUUGCAGCGCCUCGCCAAGUUUUCCUUCCGCUCCUCCCCCGAAAAAAACAUGUUUUUAAUUGCAUAUGCUCAGGUCCCGAAAUCCAAGGUGCAAAAGUCAGCCUCUGCGAGUCUGUACUCCGGAAGGAAGGGAAUUCUGCUUAAGGCUCCUUAGAAAGCGCAACUUUGAGCCAAGAACGGAGGCUCUUUAUUCUCUCUGUCAUUGGGGUUUGGGUCAUAAAAACCUGGAGGAGGUGAUCGGCUUCUUUAUUUGCUCAGUCACAAAGGUACACUUUUCUUCUGAUGAUGCCGCCCUUGAAAAA